CAGGUGACUCUUGAUGGUGACGGGCAGCGGCAGCUUGUCGAUGAGGUGCACGGGGGUGCAGGAAACGAUGGCUCGGCAGCACAGGUCCUGCAGGCUGAACACUCGGUUGGGUCUCCAGAUCUUCUCCAUGCCGUGCCGCAUGAGGACGAUACGGGACAGCUCUGUGAAGGACUCUAUGACGUUGAAGUUGCACAGUGGGCUGACCUCAAAGAACGUCAUGCAGUUCUUCUCGGCGUACGCCCGUGCCUGCUCUGUAGGCACCUGCCGUUUGAAGGCCAGGUGAAGUCUGUUUCCCACCAGGAUCCGGGGCACCCCUGGGGCAUGCUCAUCUAUCUCCUUUAUCCAUCGAUCUAUC
rnacentral:lncRNA from 1 species